GUGCUUGCUUUGGCAGCACAUAGACUAAAAUUGGAAUGAUACAGAGAAGGUUAGCAGGGCCUUGGACAAGGACGACACCCUUAUUGGUAAAUGGGAUUGGAAUUCG
ensembl:snRNA U6 U6 spliceosomal RNA